GCUCUGUGCUACUACGGGAGUACAAGAUUCUUCCUUUAAAAGAUCUGCUAUCAGAGCAGGCCCUCUUCCACAUCGAGCUAAGUUCGGCUGAUCUCGGAGGUUAGUUCGGUUAACCCUAGCUUUUUCCUUCUGAUAUUGUCUUUUAAUUUGUCGACUGUGGGGCAAUAUAGGGAUGAGGCUGGAAGAGAUCGAAGCACUCCUAAGGAGGAGUACCCAGCAAGAGCGUGAGGCACUUCAAAGAGGGAGCACCCAACAACAAAAGAGGAAAGGGGUCCUUUCAAUUGCCACAGGGGUUGCUAAGAAGUCGUAGCCCAUCGGGGUAAGUGCUAGG
rnacentral:lncRNA from 1 species